CCUAACUAUCAAAAUCUUGACUGGCUCAGCUUACACGCCGCACCGUCUGCUCCCAAACUGCAGGGGGCAGUGUACCGCAAAGUCACGUCUACCACAGUACUACACUAGAACAGAACAAGUUUGCCUUUGUUUAGACCGCUUCCAACAUGGCUACACUCGCUCGUCUUCGUCAAGAAGAGGAACUUCUUUGCCUUUUAUUACUGCUAAAACCAAAAAAUAAGAGACAGUGGUCGACUCGUCCUUUACGCCGCAGCAGGAGCCAAGAUGAGGACGAGGAGGAGAAUUUGAGGCCGAUGCGUGGGACGGACGACAACGGGAACACGGACUCAAAUCUCCCUGAGGUAGAGGUUGCUUUGGAGGAGUCACAAAUGGACGUCACCCAAUCUACCAAUUUACCCUCAACUUCACCAGAUUUGGGCUCAGUCUGCUCUUCAGCCUUGGAGAAUACUGUUGGAGCAGCUGUGGAAGAGACGUUUUCUGUUUUCAGUGGUGGGAAAAGGAAGGGCUCAAGGAGCGUGGGGUCAGAACCGGACGUGAAGAGGAGGACGAUUGAAGAUACGGUUUUGAAGAGGCUUGAAAACACGGGUGAAGAGAAAGCCACCCAUAAGGACACUGAAGACGCAAGAUUUGUCCGUGUUAUUAUUGACAUGCUGCAAAGGAUCCCACAUCAUAAAAGGGAAGCAGUCAAAUUUAAACUUUACACACUGCUUUAUGAGGCUCUUCACCCAGACGUAUCGUAGUUGACGACAAUCAAACAGAUACAAAAGUUAUGUUUACAUCCUUUUUUUUUUUUACAUCUUAUUUUCUCUGUCGCAGUUUUUGACAAAAAAGAAUGUUACUUGCAUUAAAAAACAGUGUUCAUUUUCAAAUUCAAUGCAGUCCUCUAUUUUCUUUACCCUUCUUCAGCUUUUCUAAACACAUUCUCCUGCCAGGGUGCAAGUCUCUGUGGCGUGAGAAUGACUUAAAGCUAUAUCGAGCUGAGAUUGCAGCAUGAGUUGUUUGCGCUUUGCUGAGACAGCCAGCGUCCAACAAGUUGUUUACGCCUGCUCCCAUUCCUCUUCACUCCAGUUUUAAGUUUUUUUACAAAAACAUUUGAAAUAUAGUAUAAAAGCCACACGUGUUCUUUCAUGCUGAUUCCACAUGUCAUUUUCAUGUGGAAACCAUAAUCAUGCUUUUUUCUACCAUGUCUCUAGUGCUCCUGGUUUUAGUCAUGUUCCAAACGGGCUGUUCAAGGGUCUGUAGUUUUAUUUCCAGGAGCCAGCCUGGGUUGAUUCUUCUCCAGCAGUGACAUCACAACAGGCUGCAGACCUGAAUUGCUUGUUUAGAAGAACACUUAAUGAUCUGUUGGGAAAAGAAAGACAUAAUGGGAUGGAUUUUUCUCAUAUUUUCUGGGUAUCUAGAAGCCGGGUAAUUAUGUUCAGCAACAAUGAAGAACUGGAUUUUGCAUAACAAGGCCACUUAAAUGAAAAAAUAUCCUAUUUUUAUUACAAUUGAGUGCUCCUUAUGGACAUUAAAAGUCAUUUGGAGGCGUUUAUUUCUCUCACUAAAAUAGUAUUUACAUAACAACUGCAACAAAUGGCCAUUGUGAAUAUAAUUGCAAUAAUAUGUAAUUCAUUAAAAAAAGAUUUCUUCAAAGCAAUUUUCUGUUUUAUGUCCCACUGGAUGUCCUAAUCCAGUCAUUUUCUUCAUAUUCAAGUAUACAAGUAUAUAGUUCUGUGGAAUUUACAGAAGCAGUUAUUAAUUAUCAAAUAACGGUUUGUAAAAUCGGGUGACUCUUGUGUUUCGAAAAUGUGGAGGUGCCUCUAAGAAUCGACUCGGUGCUGCCUGAUGUGAAUAUUUCAAGAUCCCCGUGCCGUGUGGGCAGCGGAUUGUCUUUGUAUUCUUGGUCCAUCGGUGAAGUCGACUGUUUGUCGUAGGAAGCAGAGUGUGCGUGUGCGUUAUUAACUGCAUGGGUGUAUCAGCGUGCGUUUGUGUGGGAAGUGGCAUCAUUACUUUGACACUGUAACCCACAUAAAUCAGAUAGCACAGCAGUUUGUUUUCCAAUCAGCUUGUAUGCGUUUGUGUGAUGUUGCUACCAGUGUGUUGUUAGUUACCACCCCUGGCUAUGAAUGCAGGAACAGAACAGUGUGUAGUUAAGUGUGUUUUCCUGUGCGUGAAUGAAAAUUAGAUUCGUGUCUGAAAGGAAUACCAGAUAUAGAUCAGAAAGAGGAGUAAAUAUGAAAAGCUGUAUUGAACCUGGGUAGUGUGUGUGUGUGUGUGUGUGUGUGUGUGUGUGUGUGUGUGUGCGUGCGUGAGAGUGAGUCUCACCUGGACUCAUGUGGCUUCACAGGAAAAACAAGCUGCUGAGCAGAGCCAAGGUUUACAUGUGAGUGUCGUCAUGUUUGCCUGCUGCUGCAGGUUUAUACAUACAGUGACUGUGCUGGAUUCUACAUGUUGGCAUUGUGUUUUUGUGGUUGCAAAAGUAGAUUUUGUGAAGGAUUUUUUUUUUUUUUGCAGUGAUGCAGACUGGGCUCAGUAAUUACACUUGUGUGUGUACCUUUUCUAUUUAAAAAUUUUCACCACGUUUUUUGAUACUGACUGAAACAUUUUAUCUUCUUUUGUCAGAUCCAGCACACAUGAUUUUUUAACACAUCAUGUAAAUGAUUGUAAAUAGGAAUAAAGCUGCAGAUAUAUAGUAGCUUUCACUAUAUUGCUUUAACUACACAUACACCCACAUAUACAUAUAUAUGUAUAUAUAUAUAUAUUUGGCUAUAUUGGCAGCAGUGACUGUUUUCAUUUUUCCCUCCUCACUGCUUCAGUUUGUUGCCUGAUGCUAAAACACUGCAGGGACGGGGGUUGCUCUGCCGGCCACGCACCUGUCAUGGUGCAGGAUGAGUUUCUAGGAGACAUCGUGCUUUUUUAAAAUCCUCUAUUCCCAGCCAUAGCUUGGUUGGCUGCACUCUGUAAUAAUUGCAUAAUGUUGGCUGUUGUAUCAUAUCUCAGUGUUUCCCACAGGCUGAGAAUUUACUUGUGGUGGGUGGCGUGGUGUGACUGAUAUGCAUGCAGAGAGCGAUGCAGUGUAGAUGGGGAGAGUGCAGCCCAAGUUGUUUUCUUAAGCUACAAUUUGCUAAUGUUCUCUAAACUCAUUUCAUGCAUCAAUAGACUCUAGAAUUUACAAAUGUUCCCUAAAUAUCACAUGCACAUCAGGAUAUGCUACGAGACAGCUGUGCACAGAGAAUCGUAUAGUCCCGACUCAGUCGCUAGACUUUAAAGUUACGUAAAAGCAUAAAAUAAGGCACUCUAAUAUCACAUUUACUUCAGCACUAACUGAGUAAUUUUAUCUACCUCGCUUUGCUGCCCUGAGACACACAGACACACUAGCUAAAUGUCAGGCACAUCGGUACAACCGGUGAAAGUGGUUGUGUCAAUUCUCAGUCAUCCAGGUCACAGUAAUCCUAAUUGCAUCAGUGGAUUUCAACUGGAUUUCUCUAUUUGGUCCUCGACGAUGUUUCACUUCUCAUCCAAGAGGCUUCCUCAGUUCUCACUGACUGGUGGGGAGUCCCUCGUAUUGAUUCUUGCUCCUUUAUCCAUAACUUAUGAGCUUGAGAGAUAAAACAUGGGGCUACAAUGUCUGCAGACCACUUGUAGCACCAAUAGCUGCUGUUCAGUUUUUCAAAGCUAUAAUUAUGUGGGACAUCUAAUGAAGACAAAGAUCAAUUUUGCAAAAAAAAAAAGUCACAAAAGUAUUGUGUAUAGAUUGUGUGCUGCAGCUCAUUCCAGUGAUGUAAUGUAGGUAGCAUGAACAACUUUCAAGUACAGAACUUUUAAAAAGCCUAGAGUCUGGCACAGAUGUGAUGGCUCUCCAGUGCUGGGGUCAUCCGAAGUUUAUUGUGUGACCUCAGUGUGCAGCAGCCUGCCAGAGGAGGCUGGCAAUGUAGAGCUCAGUGCACGACUGGGGUAUAAAUCAAACACACCUCUCUUCAGUUCAACCCUGCAGCUGGCUCAGCGUCAGCUGGCUGAGGAGAGGAGAGCAAGUAAAAGGAAGGAAAAGGGGGAAAGGACAGAAUGUGUAAAGGAGAACGCAAGAUAAGAUGAUGUGAGAGGACAAGGGAGGAGAAGAGGGAAGGAAGCAGGUGAGGAUAAGUGAGAAGGAAAAUGAGACAGCAGUGGAGGACAGAGGGAGGACAGGAGUUGAUGGGAGGAGAGGAGAAGAAGUAGGAGGGGAAUCGGGAGGAAAAAGUGAGGAAAGCAGAGGUAGUGACAGAGGAGAUAAGAGCGAUGAUGAGGAUGAGAGGAUUUGGAAAGCAGAGACAGUUAGCAAUUAUCUAGAGUAGCUUCCUCUCAGUUUUUACUGCAGAGUCACGCUGGGAUUUAUGAGUGCAGCCAUUGCUCGGCUGUGUGUGUCUGUUUGUAUUACUCAUGUUGUGGGGACACAGACGGAGUGGAGCACUUUAAUAGGAACACCUGCUUAUUCAUGCUGUUACCCAACAGUUGAAGAUGGAAAAAUGUAACCCGCUCCGAUGAAUCUCCAUUUCUGCUGAGGCUGCAGAUGGUAGGUCAGAAUCAGCAGCAUGAAUCCACGAAGGCGACCUGCUUUGUGUCAACAGUCCAGGCUCAUGGUGGAGGCGUCAUGAUAAGAGAUCGACUAAUAUUGUUUUUUCAAGGCUGGUACUGAUUAUUAGUAAUCAAGGACACACUUAAUUAAGAGAGCUGAUAUACAUUUGCAGUAAAAAUACAAAAACUGAUAUUAAAUUUAGAAAGAUACAAUAUGGCAACACAAUAUGUUUUGUACUAAAUUUGAUUUACAAAAUUUUAAUUUUAAAAGAACAUUUGUCUUUCACUGUUAGUUGUGUGUGCCUCACUGUCUGGAGGUUAGGCAUUGCCAUUUUGACUACAGAUAGAGAGAGGCAGCUGCAGAGCCAAAGUAGCAAUUUUUAAUUUAUCAUCAGGGAUCAGAUAAAGAAAUACCAAUACCUGGUAAACUGUGAGAUAUCCAAGCUGAUAAUCUGUGGUAAUCAGUUGACCCCUUGUUGGCUUUAGUUGGCGUCCUUUGGUUCCCUUCAUACCAGUCAGUUGUGGACUGAAUGCCACAUCCUGUCUGAGCAUUGCUGCUGAGCUUGUACAUCCCUUUAUGGCCACAGUUUACGUUCCCUUAAAGACAGCUUCUAGGAGGAUAAUGCACCAUCUUACAAACUGGUCUCAUGAUCAUGACAAUGACUUCAGUGGACUCCAGUUGCCUCCUUUAGGGUUGCUUCAACUACAGCAACUUUCUGCAGAGACCAGAGACUAAAUUAAGCUGCUGGAGAAUUAAUUUACCCUCCAAAACGUCCCUGCUCAGAGGUUUGGGCUGAAGUUCUGCUGUGGGCUUGCAGUGCAUAGUGUUUAUGAUGGGUUGAGUACUGGCAGCAUUUCAUCUCAGCCAGCAUUUAAAAAAGCUGUAUCUGUAUGCACUGCUUGUUUUUUGAUCAUUGUGCUUUAACACAUUACCGCAAGGACAGUUUACACUGGGGGCGACCAACUGUAAGAACCACCAAUAUAGAACUCUUUCUGGGCUGUUUGCAGCGGAGAAAACAUGACCUACUCCAUGAUAGGUGCUUCUGAGUGUCCUUGAUAAAGCAACAUAUGGGUCUAAAUGUCGAUUGGUUAAGCUUAGGGAGCAUUCCAAACUCCACUUUUCUGCCUUCUCGAUGUCUCAUUCAGUAGCAAGUCUUGUCCUCUCAAACAUCACCAACAGCAACAUAAAAAUUUAAAAUGACCAUAUAGAUUAAUAUAGCAAAUCUCCAUUGUUUGUCUCCUACACACUCAUACAACUGGAAUUACCCCUAGAGGGCACAGCCACCCCUGAAUUCCCAUUAGCCUUCCCUGUAGCCACCCCAGAUUUGAUAGGUCAAGCUGAUUCACAAUAACUCAAAAAUCACAUUUUCGAGUGCAAGUGAAAGCAGCAUGAGAUGCAGUAGCCAGACAGCUGUGCAGCUCAUCCAUUAUCAUUAAAAAAAACAACAUGUAUUUAUUUACAACACAGUAUAGCAAUCACCUCAUUAAUUACUUUCACAUUAAUGCAGUUUUUAACCAGCCUCUAUUCUAAAAUAUUAAUAAUAAUAAUGGAUUAGAUUUAUAUAGCGCUUUUCUAUUAGGGCAUACUGAAAGCGCAUAAAAGAAGUCCUGAAAAUCAGCCCCAGUUGCACCACUGGAAAUAGUAUCCCCAAAUAGUCAGUCACAGCUCGUCUGCUGUAAACCUAAAGUUAACAACUUGGACUUUUUGCAUCACAAACAUGUUUAGUAGAAUUUUAAACCAUAUUAGCUCACUGUGUCCUCAUUACCAGGUCAGAGUGAGAUCUGAAAAACUAAAGCAAAACAUGACAAUUAAACUUCUGGCGGAUCAAAACUGUAAAUUAGAGAAAAAUAACAGCCAUAUAACAGUGAGUCAGUGACACUGAUGAUACUGAGCCAUUUGUACAAAUUCUCAAGUGCAACUCCACAAAAUCUGAUGCAGCACAUCAACGCUGCAUCCAUUUCCAUCACAGCAGUACCAGGAGAAAACUUCCAGGAAUGUGCCAAACUUGGCAACCUUCUAAAAAUGCCGUUGUGUUGUGUUGUAAAAACAGAUACGGCCUGUAUCUGUUGGAAAAGGUUAACCAUCACAAAGAAAUGCCAAACCUUGAUUGUGAUGCAAACCUAAACCUGAUACUAACCUGAACUCUUAAACGAAGACGAAACCCUUUAAAUGUCCUCACCUUCAAUAAAAUGUCCUCACUCUCAAGGUCUAAAACUCAAAUCUGUCCUCACAAAGAUAGCUGUACAAAUACACGCACACAUUGUCUCCCACACACUCAUGCUGUGCCUCUCACAAACACAACACACUGAACACCCACAUUCACACACACUGUACGCCCACACACACACACACACACACACGCACGUUCACACAAAGACACACACUGCUGUUAGCCGUGAGUCACCCUCGUGUGUGUGUGUGUGUGUGUGUGUGUGUGUGUGUGUGUGUGUGUGUGUGUGUGUGUGUGU